rnacentral:rRNA from 1 species
UACGGAGGGUGCGAGCGUUAAUCGGAAUUACUGGGCGUAAAGCGCACGCAGGCGGCUAUAUAAGCCAGAUGUGAAAGCCCCGGGCUUAACCUGGGAGAGUCAUUUGGAACUGUAUAGCUAGAGUUUUGGAGAGGGGAGUGGAAUUCCAGGUGUAGCGGUGAAAUGCGUAGAUAUCUGGAGGAACAUCAGUGGCGAAGGCGGCUCCCUGGCCAAAAACUGACGCUCAUGUGCGAAAGCGUGGGUAGCGAACAGG